GACGAACGCUGGCGGCGUGCUUAACACAUGCAAGUCGAACGGAGCGCCAUGGAAUGAGGUUUCGGCCAAAGGAAAUGGUUGCUUAGUGGCGGACUGGUGAGUAACGCGUGAGGAACCUGCCUUUCAGAGGGGGACAACAGUUGGAAACGACUGCUAAUACCGCAUGACGCAUGACCGGGGCAUCCCGGACAUGCCAAAGAUUUAUCGCUGAAAGAUGGCCUCGCGUCCGAUUAGAUAGUUGGCGGGGUAACGGCCCACCAAGUCGACGAUCGGUAGCCGGACUGAGAGGUUGACCGGCCACAUUGGGACUGAGAUACGGCCCAGACUCCUACGGGAGGCAGCAGUGGGGAAUAUUGGGCAAUGGGCGCAAGCCUGACCCAGCAACGCCGCGUGAAGGAAGAAGGCUUUCGGGUUGU
rnacentral:rRNA from 1 species